AGGGCGGAAGUUACCAAAUAAAGGACCAGCGACCUUCUCCUCUAUGAUAAUUUCUUAUAAAGUACUAGCGUAUACACAACAGGGACAAUCGGUUUGCAGAUAACUAUAUACAAUGGUGGAGAGGCGGAGCCGACGGCGGGGCAGGACACGCUGUAGCCCUGCUCAAGAUGGCGGCAAGGAGGCGGAGAAUGUGGCGGAACGGAGAGAGUAUAAAAGAGGAGAAGGAGCAAAGCUGAGGGAAGGAGGUGGCGUGUCUGCAGCAGAUGCAGCGCAGGAGCGAUCAAAGAGCGACAGAGAACAGCACACAAGAGACGAUGCCGCGGCCGGCUGAAAGAGCGACCGAGGAGUGAGCAGCGGAGAGUAGCUGAAAGAGCGAUCCGAGCUGCCGAAAAAACUUUAUUGAAAAAUAAAGAGUCAAACCUGUGC